rnacentral:rRNA from 1 species
UGGGGAAUAUUGGACAAUGGGCGAAAGCCUGAUCCAGCAAUGCCGCGUGUGUGAAGAAGGUCUUCGGAUUGUAAAGCACUUUCGACGGGGACGAUGAUGACGGUACCCGUAGAAGAAGCCCCCGGCUAACUCUGUGUCAG